rnacentral:rRNA from 1 species
CCUACGGGAGGCAGCAGUGGGGAAUAUUGCACAAUGGGCGAAAGCCUGAUGCAGCAACGCCGCGUGAGCGAUGAAGGCCUUCGGGUCGUAAAGCUCUGUCCUCAAGGAAGAUAAUGACGGUACUUGAGGAGGCAGCCCCGGCUAACUACGUGCCAGCCGCCGCGGUAAUACGUAGGGGGCUAGCGUUAUCCGGAAUUACUGGGCGUAAGGGGUGCGUAGGUGGUUUCUUAAGUCAGAGGUGAAAGGCUACGGCUCAACCGUAGUAAGCCUUUGAAACUGGGGAACUUGAGUGCAGGAGAGGAGAGGUGAAUUCCUAGUGUAGCGGUGAAAUGCGUAGAUAUUAGGAGGAACACCAGUUGCGAAGGCGGCUCGCUGGACUGUAACUGACACUGAGGCACGAAAGCGUGGGGAGCAAACAGGAUUAGAUACCCGGGUAGUC